AGUGCUGCAAAGGGUUCUGUGUAUUUAUUCUGUUGUGUUUAUGUAGGGGACAGCGUGGCGAAGUUGGGAGAGUGGCCGUGCCAGCAAUCUGAGGGUUACUGGUUCAAUCCCCACCUUCUACCAUCCUAGUCACGUCUGUUGUGUCCUUGAGCAAGACACUUCACCCUUGCUCCUGAUGGGCCUGGUUAGCGCCGUGCACGGCAGCUCCCGCUAUCAGUGUGUGAAUGUGUGUGUGUGUGAAUGGGUGAAUGUGGAAAAUAGUGUCAAAGCGCUUUGAGUUCCUUAAAAAGGUAGAAAAGCGCUAUACAAGUACAACCCAUUUACCAUUUACCAUGUUGUGUUACAGUGCGGAUGUUCUCCCGAAAUGUGUUUGUCAUUCUUGUUUGGUGUGGGUUCACAGUGUGGCGUAUAUUUCUAACAGUGUAAGUUGUUUACACGGACACCCUCAGUGUAACCUGUAUCGCUGUUGAUCAAGUAUGCAUUGAAUUCACUUGUGUGUGCGUGCAGAAGCCGCACAUAUUAUGUGACUGGGCCAGCACUCGUUGGACUGGAUGAAAAGCAGAUGCGACGAUUUUCGGGAGGGGCACUGAAAUUUGGGAGUCUCCCGGGAGGGUUGGCAAGUAUGAGAAUUAGCGGUGAAUGCGGUGUUACCGCGGCACCGCCGCUGUAUAUAAUCGGCGGGCCAGCUCUAGUGUUAAUUUGAUAUCGCCUCAAGGGCCAAGUGAAAUUACAUGGCGGGCCAAUUUUGGCCCGCGGCCAGAGUUUGACACCCAUGCUCUAGAACUACAACGAAUGUUUAACAAUGUGUAUUUCCGCGUUUUGGCAGAAUUGUCACAUUCCUGGAAAACAAACCAUGGAGGCAUGGCGAAGAUAUUUAUAAAACAAUCUUGCCUUCCUUCAUACUUCCUUCAAACGAAUCGUUCGGAAUUUUCCCCAGUUGUGACGUUUUUCCCAUUGGUGAUGGCAGCGGAUUUUCCCACAUAGGUUACAGGUUUACCCCAAGACCUUUGUGUGAGUCCGCCAUGGUACUCCGACGCUGUAGUCAAUAAGUUCCUUCUUUUUCUCUAUCGUCUUGCUGUGGGGCAGACUAUACCAUACAUUCACAUGGAUCCUCCGCUAUUGCCAUUUCUAAUACAAAGUAACAGUUCUAUCUUGAAGAUGGUCUGUAAAACAUCAUCUAUGCAAACUUUUUACCAAAGAACCAUAAUUACUAAAAGGAAGUAUUUUAAAUGUAGAAAAAAAAUCAUCAUAUGACCCCAUUAAAUAGCAAAUUAAUUGUUUGUUAUCCUUCCAUCCAUUUUCUAUAAUGCUUAUCUUAAUUAGGGUUAUGGGGAAGCUGGAGCCUAUUCCAGCUGACUUGGGGCAAGAGGCGGGGAAUGCCCUAGACUGGUCGCCAGCCAGUCAUUCAUACCUAUGGACAAUUUACAGUGUUCAAUUAACCUACAACAUAUAUAUUUUUGUAAUGUUGGGGGGAAGCCUUAGUACCGGGAAGAACAUGCAAACUCUAACCAGAGAUGUCCAAACGCAGAUUCAAACCCAGAUCUCCUGACUGUGUGGCCUACACUAAACUAAAAAGGCCAAGUCAUACCAAAGACUAUAAAAAUGGGACCCGUUACCUCCCUACUUGGCACUCAGCAUCAAGGGUUGGAAUUGGGGGUUAAAUCACCAAAAAUGAUUCCCGGGCGUGGCCACUGCUGCUGCUCACUGCUCCCCUCACCUCCCAGGGGGUGAUCAAGGGUGAUGGGUCAAAUGCAGAGAAUAAUUUCGCCACACCUAGUGUGUGUGACAAUCAUUGGUACUUUAACUUUAACUUUAAAUGCUAACCACUAGGCCACUGUGCAGCCCCUUUUUUUUUAAAAUAUAUAAUUUACACAACCUUUUCUAGCAAAAAAAAGCUUUGACAAGGAAGUGUUGUGUACAAUACUGUCUACUGUAUGCCUGUAAUUGUUUCUUCAUGAGUAAAACUGCGUGGCAAAAAACAGGAAUUUUUAGGACUUUUUAUGGUUGCGUUUAGGGAUGUAACGGUAUCAAAAUCUCAUAUUAUCACGGUAUUAAGGCUCCGGUACGAUAUUAUUGUAGUAUUUUUUUUUUUUAAAAAGGCUUAAAAAUGUUUUAGUGUGUAAAAUAAAGUGUCAAGAAUGUUUAGGAUAAACACACUUACUGUAAUUGAACACAAAUAUGAUGUUCAAAUCUUCUAAUCAUAUUUAUUACUACAUAUAUGUAUUUUUAAGUGCAAAUAAUUGAGCAGGGACAUUCACUGUUUCAAGCAAAUAUUAAAAAAAUAACCUUACAGUUUCAUGUCUUUAAAGUGACAAUGUAAACAUCCAGUGGAACAAGUGUAAAACAAUAAUGUUCACUUUAGUGUAUUUCAACUUUUAAUUUCUGAGAAGUACUGUCCUCCACAGUGGACAUGUUUAUAUCAGUCUGGAAUAUGCUGUUUUUAAGAAAAGUUUUCUAACAAUACAACUUUUAAUUAUGUAAAUACCUCAGAAACUGAUGUUUGGCUUCGCUGGCUUCAAAUAUCUUUUCUGGCUGACAGUUUAUGAAGUGGCGACUUGUCCAGGGUGUACCCUGCCUUCCCCCUUAGUGCAGAUAGACUUCAGCCCCCCACGACAUCGAGAGAGACAAGCGGUGGGAAAAUGGAUUGAGGAUUCAUCAAGUAGUUUUUCAGUUUACUCAUAUUUCACGCAUGAAACAUUAUUUGGGGGGUGAUUUCGCUCCGUGCAGUGCGAUAGGACCGGCUGGCUCUGUGUCGCUUUAGAAACGCUCGGGACAAACAUGACGUGCUUUGCUUUGCAGAACGCAGACUUUCUUACCUCUGCCAAAGAGAUUAUGUUUUUGCCAGACUUUGUCUGUGUGUUAGCAACAUAACUCAAAUAGUUAUGGAUGGACUUUGAUGAAAAUUUUCAGGAAAUGUCCAAAAAAACAAUUUCUCUCAUCUACUACGAACACUUAUCUUCCUGUUUACGACGUUUCACGCCCCCACCUUCCCGCCCCGCACUGCACAGAGAAUUCUAGGGGAGGUAGUUUAUUUUCAGAACCAGGCCAAGGCAAAAGCGCAAGAAAAAAACUACACACCAAGUUUUUGUCUGAUAAAGUCACGCGUCACGUCAUUAUUGUGAAGACUUUGAAACCAAAAUACUGCGGUAUCUACAAUGCCGUUACGCCCCUAGUUGCUUUCAUUAUUUGCAGACAUCUACUGUCUUCUUCUUACCCAUUUCCAGAUAUUCAUAGAAGAGUCCCAGAUUGGACAUGGGUUGCAGUUGGUAGUCUUGCUCCCAACGAGGAAUCACUUUCUGUGACGCUGUGCCCCUGCAAUAGCGUAAAAUCAAGUUUUUCACCCACCUGCACACACACACACACAUGCAUACACAGAUGGCUUUUCCGCCCAUGAUGAUGGACAGUUGCGUGGUCAGUUCAAUCAAACAACCACCAGGAUCACACUGGAACAAGAAAAAGAAGAAAGUGAAGCAUAAUUCAUGUGCUCCAAGCGGAGGAUCGACCACACUCUACCUCCUCGUUGCGGUAUUUUCCCAAGAGCAGCUCACCAAAGUUGGUGAUCCAGAUGGCCACCCUCUCGUAAAGCAUGUUGAGGAUCAUGAUGACCACGAAGCUGAUGAGGGAGGCCGUAACCGAGGUGGCCAUCUGCGGCGUCACAUACUCCUUGAGAGGCUCCAGCUCCUUCAGGUCCUGAGCUCUCAGCCUGGCCGAGAAGGCAAAGAAGGCGGCCAAGCGGUACACGGUGAUGGCCACGAUGGAGGCCACAAUCAGCAAGAUCUGACAUAGUAUAAGAAAUAUUAUUCAAUAUGUACUAAUAGGCUCCAGCACCCCCGCGACCCCGUAAGGGAAAAGCAGUAGAAAAUGGAUGGAUGGAUGUACUAAUUUUGUUGGACAUGUAAUGAAUGGCAUUACCCAGAAUAACACGGUCCCUAUUCCUAUUGACACCCGAACGCAUCGUCCGCAGGUUGUGUAAGGCACUUUUUCUUUCACCUGAAAACACAACAGAGCUGGUAAACGCUGAGAGAAGACGCUUUGCCAGCAAGAAAUUAAGCAAUAAGAUUCACCCCCGUGACCGGGUUUUUCCUCUCGUAGAUACACUUGGCUUCAUAUUCAGGUCGGGCUGUCUCCUGCUGCUCCAGGAACUCCACAGUGUCCCACUGGUACUCCAGCUCAGCCUGGUAGCGCUUCCAAAAUUCCAGGAAUAGUGUUACUGCAGCGAGGAGAUGAGCGUAAAUAGAAGUACUCGGAUAUGGAGCUUAAAAUAAACCACUGAAGCAUGGAUGACUUACCCCAGAUUGACAUGAAAACUGCAAAAACCAGAGUGCCAAAGUUGUCAAAUAUGCACAGUUUCUACAACAAAAAAUACAAUUGUGUUUUAGCCUGCUUGUAUUGAAAUCCCUCUUCAGGUCAUGUCAGGAAAUAACUUGUUUCAACGUGUAAAGUCUGUGCAAUAGGAGAUUUUCACAAUAGAAAGUGGUUUCAUCUGCACGGUAAAAGGUGUCUAUAUAUACAUAACCAGCAGAGAGCACUAGCUUACAUAUCAGUUCAGUCAACAUUUCCCAGCAAGGCUAUGCUUUGACAAGAAAUGAUGUUGUGUAACUGCACGUUUUCCAAGUACCGUAUUAUAUAUAAGCUCUAUUUAUCUUCAAUAAUGGAAUAAACUGAAUUUAAAGUGUGUUUAAUACUGUGAGAAACAUAUUAUAGCAUUUGGAGUAGGGGUGUGUGUUACGAAAUCUGGUGUCACAAAAUCUUGCGAGAUUAUAAAAUGACAAUGUUUCACGUUUGGAGAAACGCUGUAUCGUGGGCAGAACACAGCCAGAAGUUGUCUUUUUUAUAGUCUGAUCAUGCAUAUCUGGCUGGGACUGGAACCACACAAUUAGUGCUUUGCACACACUACAAACCGAGAGCGAGCAAACGCAGCUAGUGUUGGCGUUCCCCUCAGCCAGACGUGCUCUAAAGGCAUGGCAGGGGAGGCGUGUGGCCGCUCUCCUUUCUUUGAGUUCCACAGCCAACAAGCUGAGUGUCUGUCCAAACGGAAGCAGCUAAAAUGUCAAUCAUAGAAACAAUGACAGAAAAUAAUACAUGAAUCAUUUUAAAGACCCCGGAAAGCAGUUUUCAAAAGGCCUAUUGUAGGCCCGCGAGUGCCCCCUCUAGGACCACCCAAAAAUAUCUGUUUCUCAGCUAUGGUCGCAGUGGUACUCAGUUGUAAUACACUUUUCCACCACUUGUGACAGUAAUGACAAUAUUAAACAAACAGAAGAAGUCUAGAGCUAAAGUCAUUAAGAAGUUUUUUAAGCGCAAAAUUAUGACUAAAGUGGUGAAGCUGUAUUUUUAUUUACAUUUUAAUUUUAUUGACAGUUUUGUUAAAAACGUAUUUAUUCUUGAUUUAAUAUAGCACAACAUUAUUGUACAUAAAUGUAUUUUUUGUCAGUUAGUCCCUUCAUACGCAGUGUAUUUGGUUAGUACUUAUUUUUCUAAUCACUGACCUAAGCCUAAAGUUUAAGAGUUAAAUAAAUAAUAGUAUUUGUAAUUAACACACAGUUUCAUAUCAUUUGACAAGGUUGUAAACUGAAAGUUGGUUAGAUGUAGUUAUUGAAUACAAUUAAAAUCUUGAGUAACAUGACUAAUCAGGACUCCUCUUC